CCUACGGGUGGCAGCAGUCGAGAAUCAUUCACAAUGGGGGAAACCCUGAUGGUGCGACGCCGCGUGGGGGAAUGAAGGUCUUCGGAUUGUAAACCCCUGUCAUGUGGGAGCAAAUUAAAAAGAUAGUACCACAAGAGGAAGAGACGGCUAACUCUGGGCCAGCAGCCGCGGUAAUACAGCGGUCUCAAGCGUUGUUCGGAAUCACUGGUCGUUAAGCGUGCGGAGGCUGUUUCGUAAGUCGUGUGUGAAAGGUGCGGGGUCAACCCGCGGACGGCACAUGAUACUGGGAGACUGGAGUAGUAGAGAGGGAACCGGAAUGCUCGGUGUAGCAGUGAAAUGCGUAGAUAGCGAGCAGAACACUCAGGGCGAAGGCAGGUUCCUGGACAUUAACUGACGCUGAGGCACGAAGGCCAGGGGAGCGAAAGGGAUUAAAUACCCCUGUAGUC
rnacentral:rRNA from 1 species